GAUGAACGCUGGCGGCGUGCCUAACACAUGCAAGUCGAGCGAACCCUUCGGGGUGAGCGGCGGACGGGUGAGUAACGCGUGGGUAACCUGCCCUGUACACACGGAUAACAUACCGAAAGGUAUGCUAAUACGGGAUAACAUAUGAGAGUCGCAUGGCUUUCAUAUCAAAGCUCCGGCGGUACAGGAUGGACCCGCGUCUGAUUAGCUAGUUGGUAAGGUAACGGCUUACCAAGGCAACGAUCAGUAGCCGACCUGAGAGGGUGAUCGGCCACAUUGAAACUGAGACACGGUCCAAACUCCUACGGGAGGCAGCAGUGGGGAAUAUUGCACAAUGGGCGAAAGCCUGAUGCAGCAACGCCGCGUGAGCGAUGAAGGCCUUCGGGUCGUAAAGCUCUGUCCUCAAGGAAGAUAAUGACGGUACUUGAGGAGGAAGCCCCGGCUAACUACGUGCCAGCAGCCGCGGUAAUACGUAGGGGGCUAGCGUUAUCCGGAAUUACUGGGCGUAAAGGGUGCGUAGGCGGUCUUUCAAGCCAGAAGUGAAAGGCUACGGCUCAACCGUAGUAAGCUUUUGGAACUGUAGGACUUGAGUGCAGGAGAGGAGAGUAGAAUUCCUAGUGUAGCGGUGAAAUGCGUAGAUAUUAGGAGGAAUACCAGUAGCGAAGGCGGCUCUCUGGACUGUAACUGACGCUGAGGCACGAAAGCGUGGGGAGCAAACAGG
rnacentral:rRNA from 1 species